UACGAAGGGGGCUAGCGUUGCUCGGAAUCACUGGGCGUAAAGCGCACGUAGGCGGAUUGCUAAGUCAGGGGUGAAAUCCUGGAGCUCAACUCCAGAACUGCCUUUGAUACUGGCGAUCUUGAGUCCGGUAGAGGAGUGCGGAAUUCCUGGUGUAGCGGUGAAAUGCGCAGAUAUCAGGAGGAACACCAACGGCGAAGGCAGCACUCUGGGCCGGUACUGACGCUGAGGAGCGAAAGCGUGGGGAGCAAACAGG
rnacentral:rRNA from 1 species